UUGAAAUUCUCAGGGGUAUCGAUCCUUCUUCCGCUGUCUCAAUCUUAAAUUAUUUAAUUCAUCUUCAAGCUUCUGUUCAUCACCAAAUUCUUUUGCUGCUAUGCAACUCAACAAUCAAAUUCAUUGAUGUGAUUCGUCCGAGUUUCCCUCUUAAAAGAUGUAUUGACAUUGAAUUAGGUUUUCGUUUCUGCAUUUCAAGCAAACAUAAGGUUUGAUCCCUGUUGUUAAUGGAGAUCUGGUUUAAAGAUUCAUGGAGUUCAUCUGAAGAUUUGUCAUCGGUGGUUUUUCGGUGUGGAGUUUGAUUUGAUCCUGGUGUUUCACUUCUACGUCUUCAAAUUGAAUCAAGCAUACUUCUCAGAUCUAGAAUUUGGUUUUUCUUCUUCGUCUGGAAAACUAGGUCAAAGCUGGUGAAUUCAACAAAGUUAGUGCAGCUACAAAAGAUAAUCAAGCAAUAUGCAGGCAGGUGCUCGUUGGCUUGCUUACUGCAGUACAAUGGACUCAAGAUCUCUGGGUGCUAGGAGGGUACAACUGCAAGAGAUUUGUGGGAGAAUCAGUAAGCCAGUAUUGCAUUUUUGAGUUUCACCAAAUGGUUGUUUGUUUUUCUGAAUUACGAGCUUUAUAAAAUGAUUCUAUAGAUACUGAUUCAUGCACUUUUCUUAUGAUUUUUUCUUACAUUGACCUGAAAUCAUGGAAUGCAAGGGAUGAAUUGAAUGAGCUUGGCUUGCAUUGUGGACAGUGGACUACCAGUAAACCUGGGAGUACAGUUGCUUCUAAAUUAAUGUUUGUCUUAAGCAAAGAUGAGAAAGAUCAUUUUCCAAGAUUCUUAAAGACCUCAAAUUCCCUUAUGGUUUUGCGUCGAACCUGAGCAACAAUGUAAGUUUCAGCAAGUCUUCAGCAUGUCUUUUCAAAGCAUCCACAGUUGUAUCCUGCACUUCACCAUAUCAGUCUUUAUUCAGAUUACUUUACUCCAAAGUCCUAAGCAAAAGUGGACUGCAGGAGGCUAAAUUCAUGGUUUCCGAGGCAAUGUGUGUGUUGGAAAAGUAUUUUCCAGCUUCAUUUUUUGAUACAAGUGUUCAUCUCACGGUUCAGUUAGCUGAUGAUGCAUUGCCAUUUGGACCCGUCAGGUAUCGGUGGAAGAAUGAGACAGGUCAGGGGGUAAAUAUUAACCUGAAAAAAUGUUUUGGUAUAUAUCUUAACUUAAAAAGGUCCAAUAUAGGGGUUGAGGAGGGUUUUUGCUUGUCUAGUCUAUAUAUACUGAAUAAUGCCUUCUUUGUUUUCAUUCAUACCAUCUCUAUCAAGUCCUUUUUACAUUAGAGACAACAGAGAGGUUAAAAGAGAAAAACUUCUUUGGUUGUUCUAAUUC